GACGAACGCUGGCGGCGUGCUUAACACAUGCAAGUCGAACGCUGAAGACCUGGCUUUUGUUGGGUUGGAUGAGUGGCGAACGGGUGAGUAACACGUGAGUAACCUGCCCUCUUCUUUGGGAUAACGCCCGGAAACGGGUGCUAAUACUGGAUAUUCACUGAUCUUCGCAUGGGGGUUGGUGGAAAGGUUUGUUCUGGUGGGGGAUGGGCUCGCGGCCUAUCAGCUUGUUGGUGGGGUGAUGGCCUACCAAGGCUUUGACGGGUAGCCGGCCUGAGAGGGUGACCGGUCACAUUGGGACUGAGAUACGGCCCAGACUCCUACGGGAGGCAGCAGUGGGGAAUAUUGCACAAUGGGCGAAAGCCUGAUGCAGCGACGCCGCGUGAGGGAUGGAGGCCUUCGGGUUGUAAACCUCUUUCGCUCAUGGUCAAGCCGCAACUGUGGGUCGUGGUGAGGGUAGUGGGUAAAGAAGCGCCGGCUAACUACGUG
rnacentral:rRNA from 1 species